UUUAUCUUCAUCCUUUGCUUAGGCCCUAGGUUUCAUCUAUCUUAUAGUUUACCAAAACUAUCACUCUGUGUGUGUGCGCAUGCAGAAGCAUGCAAACCAUUACUUGAAGAAUGUUAAAUAGCCAAGCAAUUCAGCCAAGAGGGAAUAUUUGCACAACCCAUAAUGGUGCAUGCAUCAAUCAUAUCAUGGCUCAGCACUUACAAAAGAACCGUUGUGGUGUAGAGAGAAUUUCUUUAGUCCCACAUCGAUGAUGAGUCAAGAAAGAAUAUGGCUUAUAUGGAUUAGAACCUUCUCUCCCAACAUAAAGCACCUUUUAAAGGAAAAAACCGUGAGGCUCUAAAUGUUCAAGGCCCAUUGAAGCC
rnacentral:lncRNA from 1 species